rnacentral:rRNA from 1 species
UAAACGAGUCUCGGCAACGAAUAUCUCGGCUCUCGCAUUGAUAAAGAACGUAGUGAAAUGCGAUACUUGGUGUGAAUUGCAGAAUCCCAUGAACCAUCGAGUAUUUGAACGCAAGUUGCGCCCGAAGCCAUUAGGCCUAGGGCACGUCUAGCUGGGCGUCACAC